AACGAACGCUGGCGGCAUGCCUAACACAUGCAAGUCGAACGAGACCUUCGGGUCUAGUGGCGCACGGGUGCGUAACGCGUGGGAACCUGCCCUUAGGUUCGGAAUAACUCCCCGAAAGGGGUGCUAAUACCGGAUAAUGUCUUCGGACCAAAGAUUUAUCGCCUUUGGAUGGGCCCGCGUUGGAUUAGCUAGUUGGUAGGGUAAAAGCCUACCAAGGCGACGAUCCAUAGCUGGUCUGAGAGCAUGAUCAGCCACACUGGGACUGAGACACGGCCCAGACUCCUACGGGAGGCAGCAGUGGGGAAUAUUGGACAAUGGGCGAAAGCCUGAUCCAGCAAUGCCGCGUGAGUGAUGAAGGCCUUAGGGUUGUAAAGCUCUUUUACCCGGGAUGAUAAUGACAGUACCGGGAGAAUAAGCUCCGGCUAACUCCGUG
rnacentral:rRNA from 1 species